UACGAAGGGGGCUAGCGUUGUUCGGAAUUACUGGGCGUAAAGCGCGCGCAGGCGGUCUUCCAAGUCAGUGGUGAAAGCCCGGAGCUCAACUCCAGAACUGCCUUUGAUACUGAAGAUCUUGAGUCCGGGAGAGGUGAGUGGAACUGCGAGUGUAGAGGUGAAAUUCGUAGAUAUUCGGAAGAACACCAGUGGCGAAGGCGACUCACUGGCCCGAUACUGACGCUGAGGCGCGAAAGCGUGGGGAGCAAACAGG
rnacentral:rRNA from 1 species